CGCCCUCUGACCCCGCAGCGUCGUGGCUAGAGUAGGGUCUGGAGAGAGCUCCCACUGUGGCGAGUCCUGUCGUUGGAUUCCCGCGGCGCCCCGUAAGGCUCCGCCCCGGCGGUGCUACCAAACCCUGUUCGAUUUUAGAAUCGUACAUUCCCAGAGGGAAUCCUAGACCCCUCAUUUUACAGUUGAGGAAACAGGCCCAAGUAGCAUGACUUGUUCGCGCCGCUAGUCGAAGGAGCAGCAGCCCCGAUCCCUUGACUCUGGGGCACUGCUUUCCCUUUAGCUCAUUUUUGGAGGAAAUGGGUGCGCCCUUGCUCGACCUUUGGUGAUUGCCGCCACAGGCCUUCCCGCCGGCUAACUCAGCGUGCCCAAGUCCCGUGACUUAGUGCCAGGACGGUGCUGUGACCCGUUAUCCCCUGUCGGGUUUUACCUCCCCCCGGGAGAGCUCAGCCCUGGAUCCCGGCGGGCGGCGGAGCCUCUCUGGAGCCCGGACGGGACAGCCCACCAGGGUCUGCUUCUGUGAGGGGCCGAGGCGUCAUUCCGCGAAGCCUUCUCCUUGCUGUUGCCAUGUGAAGAAGGAUGUGUUUGCUUCCCCUUCUGCCAUGAUUGUAAGUUUUCUGAAGCCUCUCCAGCCAUGCCAAACUAAUUGGAAAAAACUACUUUAAAGUUCAUAUGGAACCAAAAAAGAGCCCGCAUCGCCAAGUCAAUCCUAAGCCAAAGGAACAAAGCUGGAGGCAUCACACUACGUGACCUCAAACUACACUACAAGGCUACAGUAACCAAAACAGCAUGGUACUGGUACCAAAACAGAGAUAUAGAUCAAUGGAACAGAACAGAGCCCUCAGAAAUAAUGCCGCAUAUCUACAACUAUCUGAUCUUUGACAAACCUGAGAAAAACAAGCAAUGGGGAAAGGAUUCCCUAUUUAAUAAAUGGUGCUGGGAAAACUGGCUAGCCAUAUGUAGAAAGCUGAAACUGGAUCCCUUCCUUACACCUUAUACAAAAAUCAAUUCAAGAUGGAUUAAAGACUUAAACGUUAGACCUAAAACCAUAAAAACCCUAGAAGAAAACCUAGGCAUUACCAUUCAGGACAUAGGCAUGAGCAAGGACUUCAUGUCUAAAACACCAAAA
rnacentral:lncRNA from 10 species